CGGCGGACGGGUGAGUAACACGUGGGUAACCUACCUAUAAGACUGGGAUAACUUCGGGAAACCGGAGCUAAUACCGGAUAAUAUUUUGAACCGCAUGGUUCAAAAGUGAAAGACGGUCUUGCUGUCACUUAUAGAUGGAUCCGCGCUGCAUUAGCUAGUUGGUAAGGUAACGGCUUACCAAGGCAACGAUGCAUAGCCGACCUGAGAGGGUGAUCGGCCACACUGGAACUGAGACACGGUCCAG
rnacentral:rRNA from 1 species